rnacentral:rRNA from 1 species
CCUACGGGUGGCAGCAGUGAGGAAUAUUGGUCAAUGGGCGCGAGCCUGAACCAGCCAAGUAGCGUGAAGGUUGACUGCCCUACGGGUUGUAAACUUCGUUUAUAAAGGAAUAAAGUGAGGCACGUGUGCCUUUUUGUAUGUACUUUAUGAAUAAGGAUCGGCUAACUCCGUGCUAGCAGCCGCGGUAAAACGGAGGAUCCGGGCUUUACCCGGAUUGCUUGGGGUUAAAGGGAGCGUAGAUGGGUUGUUCAGUCCGUUGUGAAAGUUUGCGGCUCAACCGUAAAAUUGCAAUUGGUACUGGCAGCCUGGAGUGCAGUUGCGGUAGGCGGAAUUCGUGGUGUAGCGGUGAAAUGCGUAGAUAUCACGAAGAACUCCGAUUGCGAAGGCAGCUUACUAAGCUGCCACUGACAUUGAUGCUCGAAAGUGUGGGUAUCAAACAGGAUUAGAUACCCCUGUAGUC